AGCAUAUCAAUAAGCGGAGGAAAAGAAACCAACAGGGAUUGCCUCAGUAACGGCGAGUGAAGCGGCAAGAGCUCAAAUUUGAAAGCUGGCCCCUUCGGGGUCCGCAUUGUAAUUUGCAGAGGAUGCUUCGGGAGCGGUCCCCAUCUAAGUGCCCUGGAACGGGACGUCAUAGAGGGUGAGAAUCCCGUAUGGGAUGGGGUGUCCGCGCCCGUGUGAAGCUCCUUCGACGAGUCGAGUUGUUUGGGAAUGCAGCUCUAAAUGGGUGGUAAAUUUCAUCUAAAGCUAAAUAUUGGCCGGAGACCGAUAGCGCACAAGUAGAGUGAUCGAAAGAUGAAAAGCACUUUGAAAAGAGAGUUAAAAAGCACGUGAAAUUGUUGAAAGGGAAGCGCUUGCGACCAGACUCGCUCGCGGGGUUCAGCCGGCAUUCGUGCCGGUGUACUUCCCCGCGGGCGGGCCAGCGUCGGUUUGGGCGGUCGGUCAAAGGCCCUUGGAAGGUAACGCCCCCCGGGGCGUCUUAUAGCCAAGGGUGCAAUGCGGCCUGCCCGGACCGAGGAACGCGCUUCGGCUCGGACGCNGGCAUAAUGGUCGUAAGCGACCCGUC
rnacentral:rRNA from 1 species